rnacentral:lncRNA from 13 species
GCAGGAAGAACAUGACUCUGAAAAGCCGUGUAUCCGCCUCCCCUUCUGUCGAAGACAUGAGCACCGCACGCAAAGCCUGCUUCUGUCACAUGCCGGAGAGCUGCCCUGCCUGUUGAAGGAAGCUGAGACCCCAAACCACUUUUCUUCAGGAAGAAUCCAGUGCUGUUGAAAAAAAAAGACAACUGUGUACUCAUUGGAGAGCAAAUGUAUACAUAGCUGGAUGUGGAAGAAAAAGUUCUGUUGGGUAUGGGCAUGGUGGUUCACGCCUAUGACCCCAGCACUUUGGGAGGCUGAGACAGGAGGAUCACUUGAGGCCAGAAGUUCGAGACCAGCUGGGCAACGUGGCGAAACCCCAUCUCUACAAAAAGUACAAGAAUUAACUUGUGGUGCACAUUUCCAUCUCAAAUUAAGGAAGAUAGAGAGGGGAAGCAUGGCACACUCCCGCUGUUCAGGUGUGUGGUGUCCUCUGGAGCACACCGUAGCAUCUCCUACUAGGAAGCCUGGGUCCCAGCCCUGGCCCUGUGGCUAA